rnacentral:rRNA from 1 species
CAGUAGCCGCGGUAAUACGUAGGUGGCAAGCGUUGUCCGGAAUUAUUGGGCGUAAAGGGCUCGCAGGCGGUUUCUUAAGUCUGAUGUGAAAGCCCCCGGCUCAACCGGGGAGGGUCAUUGGAAACUGGGAAACUUGAGUGCAGAAGAGGAGAGUGGAAUUCCACGUGUAGCGGUGAAAUGCGUAGAGAUGUGGAGGAACACCAGUGGCGAAGGCGACUCUCUGGUCUGUAACUGACGCUGAGGAACGAAAGCGUGGGGAGCGAACAGGAUUAGAUACCCCUGUAGUCCCUGUCUCUUAUAA